rnacentral:rRNA from 1 species
AUUGAACGCUGGCGGCAGGCCUAACACAUGCAAGUCGAGCGGAUGACGGGAGCUUGCUCCUUGAUUCAGCGGCGGACGGGUGAGUAAUGCCUAGGAAUCUGCCUGGUAGUGGGGGACAACGUUUCGAAAGGAACGCUAAUACCGCAUACGUCCUACGGGAGAAAGCAGGGGACCUUCGGGCCUUGCGCUAUCAGAUGAGCCUAGGUCGGAUUAGCUAGUUGGUGGGGUAAUGGCUCACCAAGGCGACGAUCCGUAACUGGUCUGAGAGGAUGAUCAGUCACACUGGAACUGAGACACGGUCCAGACUCCUACGGGAGGCAGCAGUGGGGAAUAUUGGACAAUGGGCGAAAGCCUGAUCCAGCCAUGCCGCGUGUGUGAAGAAGGUCUUCGGAUUGUAAAGCACUUUAAGUUGGGAGGAAGGGCAGUAAGUUAAUACCUUGCUGUUUUGACGUUACCGACAGAAUAAGCACCGGCUAACUCUGUGCCAGCAGCCGCCGUAA